AGUCUUCAGGUGUUGAAGAUGUGGAUGAGGUUCAUACAACAGUUUUUUGCCUUCCAAAAGUUAUAGGCUCUAAACACUAACAUCUCUCUAAAACAAUCAGCUAUAUGCAUGGUCUCAUCACUCCAACUUCUCUAGCAUCCAACAACUCUGGAAUCGGGAAUGUGCCCUUAGCUUUGUCCUUAUUGGCCAAAAUAAGCCAUUCCUGCCGCACUUUAAUUUGAUGGCAUGCAAAUGAAAGCAAAAUUUCUUAGGUCUGG